UACGAGGGGUGCAAGCGUUGCUCGGAAUUAUUGGGCGUAAAGGGCAGGUAGGUGGUCUUAUUUGUCAGGGGUGAAAGCCUUGGGCUUAACCUGAGAAGUGCCCCUGAAACGGUAAGACUAGAGUCUUGGAGAGGGUUGCGGAAUUCCCGGUGUAGCGGUGAAAUGCGUAGAGAUCGGGAGGAACACCAGAGGCGAAAGCGGCAGCCUGGACAAGCACUGACACUCAACUGCGAAAGCGUGGGGAGCAAAC
rnacentral:rRNA from 1 species